GACGAACGCUGGCGGCGUGCUUAACACAUGCAAGUCGAACGGAAAGGCCCUGCUUAUGUGGGGUGAUCGAGUGGCGAACGGGUGAGGAACACGUGAGUAACCUGCCCUUGACUUUGGGAUAACUUCAGGAAACUGGGGCUAAUACCGGAUAGGAGCUCCUGCUGCAUGGUGGGGGUUGGAAAGUUUCGGCGGUUGGGGAUGGACUCGCGGCUUAUCAGCUUGUUGGUGGGGUAGUGGCUUACCAAGGCUUUGACGGGUAGCCGGCCUGAGAGGGUGACCGGCCACAUUGGGCCUGAGAUACGGCCCAGACUCCUACGGGCGGCAGCAGUGGGGAAUAUUGCGCAAUGGGCGGAAGCCUGUUGCAGCAACGCCGCGUGCGGGAUGACGGCCUUCGUGUUGUAGACCGCUUUCGCCUGUGAGGAAGCGUGAGUGACGGUAAUGGCGCAAGAAGGACCGGCUAACUACGUG
rnacentral:rRNA from 1 species